GUGGGGAAUUUUGGACAAUGGGCGCAAGCCUGAUCCAGCAAUGCCGCGUGAGUGAAGAAGGCCUUCGGGUUGUAAAGCUCUUUUGUCAGGGAAGAAACGGCUGUGGCUAAUAUCCACGGCUAAUGACGGUACCUGAAGAAUAAGCACCGGCUAACUACGUGCCAGCAGCCGCGGUAAUACGUAGGGUGCAAGCGUUAAUCGGAAUUACUGGGCGUAAAGCGUGCGCAGGCGGUUUUGUAAGUCUGUCGUGAAAUCCCCGGGCUCAACCUGGGAAUUGCGAUGGAGACUGCAAGGCUAGAAUCUGGCAGAGGGGGGUAGAAUUCCACGUGUAGCAGUGAAAUGCGUAGAGAUGUGGAGGAACACCGAUGGCGAAGGCAGCCCCCUGGGUCAAGAUUGACGCUCAUGCACGAAAGCGUGGGGAGCAAACAGGAUUAGAAACCCUAGUAGUCC
rnacentral:rRNA from 1 species